AUGAACGCUGGCGGCGUGCCUAACACCUGCAAGUCGAACGCAGCACCUUACCUGAUUCUUCGGAUGAAAGUUUGGUGACUGAGUGGCGGACGGGUGAGUAACGCGUGGGUAACCUGCCCUGUACAGGGGGAUAACAGCUGGAAACGGCUGCUAAUACCGCAUAAGCGCACGAGGAGACAUCUCCUUGUGUGAAAAACUCCGGUGGUACAGGAUGGGCCCGCGUCUGAUUAGCUGGUUGGCAGGGUAACGGCCUACCAAGGCAACGAUCAGUAGCCGGUCUGAGAGGAUGAACGGCCACAUUGGAACUGAGACACGGUCCAAACUCCUACGGGAGGCAGCAGUGGGGAAUAUUGCACAAUGGGGGAAACCCUGAUGCAGCAACGCCGCGUGAGUGAAGAAGUAUUUCGGUAUGUAAAGCUCUAUCAGCAGGGAAGAUAAUGACGGUACCUGACGAAGAAGCUCCGGCUAAAUACGUG
rnacentral:rRNA from 1 species